rnacentral:rRNA from 1 species
GGAUUGAACGCUGGCGGCAUGCCUUACACAUGCAAGUCGAACGGUAGAGUAGCAAUACUCGAGAGUGGCGAACGGGUGAGUAAUAUAUCGGAACGUGCCCAGUCGUGGGAGAUAACGUAGAGAAAUUUACGCUAAUACCGCAUACGACCUAAGGAUGAAAGCGGGGGACUCGCAAGAGCCUCGCGCGAUUGGAGCGGCUGAUAUCAGAUUAGGUUGUUGGUGAGGUAAAAGCUCACCAAGCCGACGAUCUGUAGCUGGUUUGAGAGAACGACCAGCCACACUGGGACUGAGACACGGCCCAGACUCCUACGGGAGGCAGCAGUGGGAAUUUUGGACAAUGGGCGAAAGCCUGAUCCAGCAAUGCCGCGUGCAGGAAGAAGGCCUUCGGUGUAAACUGCUUUUGUACGGAACGAAAGUCUGCCCUAAUACGGCGGCCCAUGACGGUACGUAAGAAUAAGCACCGCUAACUACGUGCCAGCAGCCGCGGUAA